rnacentral:rRNA from 1 species
AUGAACGCUGGCGGAAUGCUUUACACAUGCAAGUCGAACGGCAGCACGGAGAGCUUGCUCUCUGGUGGCGAGUGGCGAACGGGUGAGUAAUAUAUCGGAACGUGUCCAAUAAUGGGGGAUAACGAGUCGAAAGAUUCGCUAAUACCGCAUACGCCCUACGGGGGAAAGCAGGGGAUCGUAAGACCUUGCGUUAAUGGAGCGGCCGAUAUCUGAUUAGCUUGUUGGUGAGGUAAAGGCUCACCAAGGCGACGAUCAGUAGCUGGUUUGAGAGAACGACCAGCCACACUGGAACUGAGACACGGUCCAGACUCCUACGGGAGGCAGCAGUGGGGAAUUUUGGACAAUGGGGGCAACCCUGAUCCAGCCAUUCCGCGUGAGUGAAGAAGGCCUUCGGGUUGUAAAGCUCUUUCGCAAGGGAAGAAAACUUAUGAUCGAAUAAAUCAUGAGGUUGACGGUACCUUGAUAAGAAGCACCGGCUAACUACGUGCCAGCAGCCGCGGUAAUACGUAGGGUGCGAGCGUUAAUCGGAAUUACUGGGCGUAAAGCGUGCGCAGGCGGUUUUGUAAGUCGGAUGUGAAAUCCCCGGGCUCAACCUGGGAACUGCGUUCGAAACUGCAAGGCUAGAGUGUGUCAGAGGGGGGUAGAAUUCCACGUGUAGCAGUGAAAUGCGUAGAGAUGUGGAGGAAUACCAAUGGCGAAGGCAGCCCC